GAUGAACGCUGGCGGCGUGCUUAACACAUGCAAGUCGAACGGUGAAGGCGGAGCUUGCUCUGCUGGAUCAGUGGCGAACGGGUGAGUAACACGUGAGCAAUCUGCCCCUGACUCUGGGAUAAGCGCUGGAAACGGCGUCUAAUACUGGAUACGAGCUGCGAAGGCAUCUUCAUCAGCUGGAAAGAACUUCGGUCAGGGAUGAGCUCGCGGCCUAUCAGCUUGUUGGUGAGGUAACGGCUCACCAAGGCGUCGACGGGUAGCCGGCCUGAGAGGGUGACCGGCCACAAUGGGACUGAGACACGGCCCAGACUCCUACGGGAGGCAGCAGUGGGGAAUAUUGCACAAUGGGCGAAAGCCUGAUGCAGCAACGCCGCGUGAGGGACGACGGCCUUCGGGUUGUAAACCUCUUUGAGCAGGGAAGAAGCGAAAGUGACGGUACCUGCAGAAAAAGCGCCGGCUAACUACGUG
rnacentral:rRNA from 1 species